UUUUUUAAAUUGCUGUGGUAUUUUGGACUAUACAAAGGUAUUGAAAUAAGACUUUAAUUGAGUGCUAAGAGAAUGGAAAUACAGAAAAAUUCUUUCUUAAAUUCAAAAAUUAAAGUUAUUUUUACUUGUGAAGAAACAGUAAUAUUAAUUAAGGACAAGAAGACCCUAAGAAUUUUCUGAAAAAUCAAUUUUUUGAUUGAAAAUUUUCUUUAAUUGGGGCGAUUAAUAAAAAUUUAAAACUUUAUUUAAAUAACAAAAAAUGAACCAAUAUUAUUGGUCAUAUGAAAAAAAUACUCUAGGGAUAACAGCGUAAUAAUUUUUGAUAGUUCUUAUAGACAAAAUAGUUUGCGACCUCGAUGUUGGAUUAGGAUACUUUUUUAAUGAAGAAGUUAAAAAAAGAAG
rnacentral:rRNA from 1 species